rnacentral:tRNA from 1 species
GGUGUGGCUCAGUGGUAGAGCGCUUGCCUAGCAUGCGUGAGGCACUGGGUUCGAUUCUCAGAACCA